rnacentral:rRNA from 1 species
CCUACGGGUGGCAGCAGUGGGGAAUAUUGGACAAUGGGGGAAACCCUGAUGCAGCGACGCCGCGUGAGUGAAGAAGUAAUUCGUUAUGUAAAGCUCUAUCAGCAGGGAAGAAAAGGAAGGUACGUGAGUAAGAAGCUCCGGCUAACUACGAGCCAGCAGCCGCGGUAAUACGUAGGGGGCAAGCGUUAUCCGGAUUUACUGGGUGUAAAGGGAGCGUAGACGGCAGUGCAAGUCUGGAGUGAAAGGAGUGGGCUCAACCCACGGACUGCACUGGAAACUGUACGGCUGGAGUGCAGGAGAGGUAAGUGGAAUUCCUAGUGUAGCGGUGAAAUGCGUAGAUAUUAGGAGGAACACCAGUGGCGAAGGCGGCUUACUGGACUGUAACUGACGUUGAGGCUCGAAAGCGUGGGGAGCGAAAGGGAUUAGAUACCCGUGUAGUC